AGAGUUUGAUCCUGGCUCAGAUUGAACGCUGGCGGCAUGCCUUACACAUGCAAGUCGAACGGCAGCACGGGGGCAACCCUGGUGGCGAGUGGCUUUACGCGUGAGUAAUAUAUCGGAACGUGCCCUGGAGUGGGGGAUAACUAGUCGAAAGAUUAGCUAAUACCGCAUACGAUCUACGGAUGAAAGUGGGGGACCCGCAAGGGCCUCAUGCUCCUGGAGCGGCCGAUAUCUGAUUAGCUAGUUGGUGAGGUAAAGGCUCACCAAGGCAUCGAUCAGUAGCUGGUCUGAGAGGACGACCAGCCACACUGGGACUGAGACACGGCCCAGACUCCUACGGGAGGCAGCAGUGGGGAAUUUUGGACAAUGGGCGCAAGCCUGAUCCAGCAAUGCCGCGUGAGUGAAGAAGGCCUUCGGGUUGUAAAGCUCUUUUGUCAGGGAAGAAACGGUGAGGGCGAAUACCCCUUGCUAAUGACGGUACCUGAAGAAUAAGCACCGGCUAACUACGUGCCAGCAGCCGC
rnacentral:rRNA from 1 species